CCUACGGGUGGCUGCAGUGAGGAAUAUUGGACAAUGACCGGAAGUCUGAACCAGCCAUGCAGCGUGAAGGUCAGUGCCCUAUGGGCGGUAAACUUCUGUUGUGCGGGAGCAAUAAUGGUCAUGGGUGGCCAGACGAGAGUACCGUACGAAUAAGAAUCGGCUAACACCGUGCCAGCAGCAGCGGUAAUACGGGGGAUGCAAGCGUUAUCCGGAUUUAUUGGGUUUAAAGGGUGCGUAGGCUGUGAGGUAAGUCAGAGGUGAAAUGUCGGGGCUCAACCCCGGCCGGCCGUUGAAACUGGUUAUCUAGAGUUGGAGAGAGGUAUGCGGAAUUCGAGGUGUAGCGGUGAAAUGCAUAGAUAUCACGAAGAACUCCGAUGGCGAAGGCAGCAUACCGGGUCCAUACUGACGCUGAGGCACGAAAGCGUGGGGAUCGAACAGGAUUAGAUACCCUUGUAGUC
rnacentral:rRNA from 1 species